GCAAACCUCUCGCCAGUGGGCCUUGGGUGCUUGAUGGUGCUGCCGGGAGGGAGGGGGCAGCCCCGCCCCGGGAUGGACAGCAGGCGGCGGGCUGCCCUGGGAGAGCCAGUUGACUUGCUCCCAUCUCCCCCGCUGCCUGGCUUGGGGGCAGCCUCUGCUGCCCCAGCUUCCUGGAAAGAAUUUCUCUCUGUCAGCCUGCUCCUGGGAGGCAGUCGGGGUGUGCUCAGGCGACGGCAGGAUUGGGGCUGCCCCAUGCUAGAGCGGGGAUUUGCUCCCAUUUCCCACUGUCGGUGUCGCUGCCCCCGCCCAUGCAUAAUAGUCAAAACAGUUUUCUUAAUAUAAAUAUCCAACUAUAUUAAAUCCCAUCCCUAGGACUGCUUGGAACAAAUGUGAGCUAUUUGAAAACAAAGAAGACUAUUAUGGAAAUAGAAGAGGAGUCUGAAGGGAUUCAGUUUCUUAAGGGCAGUGGAACUUCUAUCUUAAGGAUUGACAGCUUAGAACCCACUGAUAUAGUAGUUUCUGAGCUCAAUCACGGUGUUCUUGGAUUAGGAUUGGAUGCAGUAGAAGAACAAGAGGAAAAGGAGCAAUUUUUUGAGAAAGGCUUAAUAUCUUCCACGGAUUAUUCAAGAUUAAAUAAGGAAUACGUGCCAGCCUGAGGCCCUUUAUGAUGGGGAACUGCAACAAGACCCCAAGGACCCAAAACCUCCAGUUUGCAUGACGAGAGCCCAUCCUCCCAACCUGUGAUACUGAGCAGAAGAGAACGUCUGUGCUCAUCUGAGUGGACCUGCUAGGCAUUCUAGAACAUGGGCAGGAACCAAGAGGUGCAAACCUCCCCGUAAAGAAAGGAAACUGUUUCUCAGAGAAAGAAGAUGGUUUUCAGGCUGAGAGGCUUGCAGAGGGGAUUGGAUAAAGGCAGAAAGCAAAUCAAAGGUGACAAAGCCAGGAGUGGGGAAGGACAGAUUCAGGGAGGGAAGCAUCUAUAUUAGCUAUACCAGGACUGACCAAGAAAUGAAAUGUAAAUUUUUAAAUUGUCUUUGAGAAAUAUGCUAUUAAAUUGUUCAGAAAUUUUUUGAAGAUAAUUAUUAACAUUAAAUUUCAUAUAAGCCAGGCACAAUA